UGGAAAAUAAUUAGAUAUGGAAAAAAAAUCUCUUUUCGUAUGGUCGAUCACGUGCUAUAACUUCUCUCUUAAGUCUAUUUAUUGGUUCUUUUGCGGAAGUAGCUGAGUUAACAACACAUAUACCUAUAUGUUUGUUAUUUGAUCAGCUGCCGUAUUCAGUCAUUUUGUCAAUCGUAGUAGGCAUUCAUUUCGAAGACAUUGCGAACGAAAUUAGACGUGGUUCAAAAUGGACAGAAAAGUAUUCUUGUACUCCGUAUUGAUACUGGUAAGUCGGGACCUAAGUCUAAUCAGUUUCUGAAUACACUUUACAUUUUUAGAACAAGUUAGGUACUUACUCAAAAAUUAAUUAAUUGAAUCAUAUACAUGCUAACAGGGCAAGUUGAAUAAAAGCCUGUAAAAUUAUUUACAAGUUUUUAUUGUUUUAUUUUAUUACCGGUCAAAGCAUAUAUCUUCAGUUAUUAUUUUUUACUUAGCCUAACAAAAAUAAACUUAAAAGGAACAGCCAUAGGAACCAUCAUUCGACGCAAGAGGUAUAAUUAUGGAUAGGUAUAAGAUUAGAGAUUAGUGGAUGCUGUACUUAAAAAAGCGUUUCUUCUGAACAGGCGGCAGCCUGCGAGUUGGUUGACAGAUUGGUAGAUGAGGCAGACGAACGAAUCCUCCGUCCAGUUGAUUAUGCCUUAAACAGUUUACCGUUGCCACUUAUCCAUCGGCGGCGCUUUCGUCUCACAACAGACUCUCCAAUAAAUGUUAAUUACAAUAAUAACUUCAACAACGACGACAUUGAUGACUACAGUUAAAACGAAACCCUCACAGUUAAUAUUGCCAUCCGCUGCCGCGAUAGUACCUAAGGCUGCGGACUGGACGCACGCGACCGGUGGCGCGACAAGCGGCAAACUAUAUUCAUACUUGGUUGAGCGAAAUGCCUUGAUUUGCCGCUUGCCGCGCCGCCGGCGUCCAGUCCACGACCUUAUAAACGCAUUGAUUGCCAGCGCGAUCUAGGCGCUAAACGCUGGCAUUAAAUGUGUUAAAUAAAACAUUUUAAACGGGUUGUAUCGCGUAUAUAAACAAUUUAAAUAAAACGUCGGGAAGUAGGAUGCACGCCAAGGAAAUGUAUUUUGAGAACCACGGGGCUAUUUGGAAAAGGUAUUGCAUAGUUGGGUUGUUGGUUAAGGCUCGAGUCCUUUCAGUUCUCUGCUCUAAGACUCGACUCAGUUUUUCAGACUCUAGUCAUUAAGUCGAAACAUGAGUCCUCAUCGAGACCUAAGUCUUUUAUAUAGUCUUGAGCCCUUUAAAGAGAACUCUCAAAUAUUCUACACGAGACCCAUCGAUUUCCAAAACGGCCCAACCAUAAAGUAUUUGGGAACACGCCUUUAGAAAAUUACUGCUCGUUCUGCGUUAACAAUUCUAACAUGUGUAGUAGGUACAUAUAAUGCGUUUGUAGAUGCGUUUUAUCCAUUAAAAAUAUAAAACAUUUAUUAUUGAUAUAAAAUAUGAAGUUUGUUGGAUAUAAAAUAUGAUGUUUUACUCAAAAGAUUGUACUGAAUAACCCCAGUUUACUAAGAAAAUCAACAUUACAGCCAAUCAUCCCUUCAUCAACAAUCCGUUUUAAUUGAUUUAUUUGUAUACUUCUUGUUAUUAUUUAUUGUGCAUUUUGGUAUGAACUCCGUAUCGUAUGAAUUACUAUUUUAAUUUAUUUUCUUUAUUUUGGUAAUAAAUUGAUUUGAAGAAAA